UAUGAAACCAGGGACAGAAAUAGAACGAAACGGAGACCAAUACACCUAAUCUUCUGGAUGUUGGUUUUGAAUUGAACCAUAGAAUGGAAACAAAUUGUCUCCCAGAGAGUUGUGCAGAGCGAGAGCAAGAGGGAGAGAGAGAGAUCUGCGAACCCCUGAAAGCUUUCCAGUCCAUGGCACUUGGACCCUCCUCGUCCUCCUCAAUCAUCCUCGUCCUCCUCACUCGUCCUCCUCACUCGUCCUCGUCCUCCUCCUCGUCCUCGUCCUCCUCCUCGUCCUCGUCCUCCUCCUCGUCCUCGUCCUCCUCCUCGUCCUCGUCCUCCUCCUCGUCCUCGUCCUCCUCCUCG
rnacentral:lncRNA from 1 species